GGCCUUUCCUCUGUGUUCCUGCCCUCCUUCAUCUGAAUUUCGCGCCUCACCAAAACCACGUGAUUGCAAAUGUGGAGGGCGGGUGUAGUGACGUCGUCGCACAGGGGCGGGGCAGGUUGUGAUUUUGGUAUAAAUACGCUCGUCAGCUGGCUCACCUGUUUGCCAGUUCGAUAGUUUGCUAAGUUCUCCGAUAAUAACGUCAAACAAACAAACGCCCCAAACACUCGAUGGGAUCCACGCCGUUUACCGCCAAAAAGCUUUUUGGCCUGAGGUCGACACAUCAUCCUCAAAUUCACACCAGGAGUUUGAGACCCAUCUGUAAAGCAGCUUACAAAAGUGUACACAACGAUCAGUGUUGCCAACUAUUUCCAAGAGGAGGGGAGACUGCAGACUUGGAUCCAGAAAGAUCUAUGGCCUAAGCAACCAGAACUAUACCACACUCAACCAUAAUUGCAUUCAAUUACAUUUAAUAUAAUGCAAUAAUGUUCUAGUUUAAACAGUUAAACUAUCAUAUAUCUAUAAAUGCAAAAAAAAACUCACAAUUUUAAAUGGUCUACUGAUUUUUAUUUAGCUAUACAGUGCAUUUUGUAUAUUAGCUAUGAAGUUUGCAUUGCACAUGCAUUCAUAUUGUUUCACUGAUUGUUUUAUAAUAUUUAUUGUAACCAUUUGUUUCAAAGAAAAUAAUAAAAUAUGGAAAAGUUGGUAUCACAAUUUGUAGCUGCAAAUAAAAAAUAAAUAAUAAUGACUUGGU